rnacentral:ncRNA from 1 species
UAUAAAAUUUAAGUUAAGUUUAUAAGAUUAAUUAUUUUAUUUAUAUAUAUAUAAAUUAUAGUAAAUUAAAAUAAAUUUUAAUAAUUUAUUUAUUUAAUAAAUUAAUAUAUAAAAUUAAAAAUUUAAGAAAUUAAUAUUUAGAAAUUAAAUUUAUAUAAGUUAAUUUUGUGCCAGCAACUGCGGUUAAACAAAAUAUAUUAAUUAAUUAUUUUAUUUAUUAAAUAAAUAAAUUAUAAAUUUUAAUUAUUAAUAAUUUAUGAUAAAAUAAAAUUUUUAAUAAUUAUAAUAAAUUUAAUUUAUUGAAUUAAAUAGUUAAAUUUAAUAGACUAGGAUUAGAUACCCUAUUAUUAAUUAAUAAAAUAGAAUAUUUAAAUAUUAAAAUUAAUAAUUUGAAAAUUAAUAACUAUGGCGGUAUUUUAAUCUAUUUAGAGGAACUUGUAUCAUAAUUGAUAAUCCACGAAAGGAUAAAUAUACAUAAAUAUAUUUUUGUAUGUUCGUUAUAAAAAAAUUUAAUAAUAAUUUUAAUUUUUAAAUAUUAUAAUUAUUAAUUUAUUUCAGAUCAAUAUUGAAUUAUAAUGUAUAAUAAAUAUGAGUUACAGUAUGAAGAAAUAUAAUGUAAAUAUUAAAUUAUUUAUAUAUUAGAAUUUAAUAGUAAAAUUUAUUAAUUUAUAUAUUUGAAUUUAGUUUUAAAAUAUGUACAUAUUGCCCGUCACUUUUAUGUUUAAUAAAAUAAGUCGUAACAAAGUAAAUGUACUGGAAAGUGUAUUUAGUAAAUUAUUU